rnacentral:rRNA from 1 species
GACGAACGCUGGCGGCGUGCCUAAUACAUGCAAGUUGAGCGAUGAAGAUUGAUGCUUGCACCAAUUUGAAGAGCAGCGAACGGGUGAGUAACGCGUGGGGAAUCUGCCUUUGAGCGGGGGACAACAUUUGGAAACGAAUGCUAAUACCGCAUAACAACUUUAAACAUAAGUUUUAAGUUUGAAAGAUGCAAUUGCAUCACUCAAAGAUGAUCCCGCGUUGUAUUAGCUAGUUGGUGAGGUAAAGGCUCACCAAGGCGAUGAUACAUAGCCGACCUGAGAGGGUGAUCGGCCACAUUGGGACUGAGACACGGCCCAAACGCCUACGGGAGGCAGCAGUAGGGAAUCGUCGGCAAGGGACGAAAGUCUGACCGAGCAACGCCGCGGGAGUGAAGAAGGUUUUCGGAUCGUAAAACUCUGUUGGUAGAGAAGAACGUUGGUGAGAGUGGAAAGCUCAUCAAGUGACGGUAACUACCCAGAAAGGGACGGCUAACUACGUG